GAUGAACGCUGGCGGCGUGCCUAAUAUAUGCAAGUCGAGCGAACGGACGAGAAGCUGGCUUCUCUGAUGUUAGCGGCGGACGGGUGAGUAACACGUGGAUAACCUACCUAUAAGACUGGGAUAACUUCGGGAAACCGGAGCUAAUACCGGAUAAUAUUUUGAACCGCAUGGUUCAAAAGUGAAAGACGGUCUUGCUGUCACUUAUAGAUGGAUCCGCGCUGCAUUAGCUAGUUGGUAAGGUAACGGCUUACCAAGGCAACGAUGCAUAGCCGACCUGAGAGGGUGAUCGGCCACACUGGAACUGAGACACGGUCCAGACUCCUACGGGAGGCAGCAGUAGGGAAUCUUCCGCAAUGGGCGAAAGCCUGACGGAGCAACGCCGCGUGAGUGAUGAAGGUCUUCGGAUCGUAAAACUCUGUUAUUAGGGAAGAACAUAUGUGUAAGUAACUGUGCACAUCUUGACGGUACCUAAUCAGAAAGCCACGGCUAACUACGUG
rnacentral:rRNA from 1 species